GGAAUGAGUAACACCCUCGCUCAUCGACGGUGCGCACCAGACUGAGAUCAAGUAGCGGACUUUCGGAGAUCAAGCAACGGUCUGCAACUGCAACGUGAAAAAGUUGAGGAGAAGAGUGGGGAACAUAGGUUGGGAAAAUUCAAACACUAAAAUCCAAAAGCCGUUGAAGAAUAGGACAAUACCGAAUGCGAAUUCGAUGGUGUUACCGAAAGAUCGUAUUAUAUAUACACAGUCGUCGAGUUGCUCCCAGAACACGCUACGUGCGACCAAAGGAAUACCAGCAAUGAUACUGGGAACAGUAUUAAAAAUGCACAAACUGCCAGAGCGCGAAUGUGUCGAUGAAGCGCUGGAUUAUGUGAGGCGCUGAGCGACAUCAACAACGGAUUGACGAUGUUGUGCACGA